UUAAGCCAUCCAUCCAGCUCCUGCUACUUUCUCUGAGUAUUGUCUGUCACCUGAAGACCCUGAGGAAAGGAUGUGGAAUUUUCUCUGAACUGAUGGCCAAGACUUGUUGCUGACUUCAGAGAUCUCUCCUUAGCCCUAUCCAUUUCUAGUUUUACAACUUAGAGAAAAUUUCUGACUGAUAUUCCGCAGCCUUAAAAUAAGGGUACAAAUAGCACUAUGCUCAGGAACUAUUUGUAAAGACGAAAUUACGUGAGCAACUGUAACUCAACGUGAACAAACCUGAAGUCACCAUAGUUUAUGCUAACAGUUAUAAAACAAGUCCUAGACUUAGACUGGUGAGUUGCUUACUGGCUCUACCACUUUGUGUUUCUUAACAUCUCUGUUUCUCAUUU
rnacentral:lncRNA from 10 species